ensembl:snoRNA
GGACAGCUGUGUCAAAUUCAGUGCCUUCCCCACCAUGACAGGCACUGGCCCAAGAGGCUGCCCUAGACACACUGUAACUCUAGGCCCUGUUUUGCUGUCCUGAAACUCAGGGAUAAAUUUUAUUACAGACACCA